UACGUAGGGGGCAAGCGUUAAUCGGAAUUACUGGGCGUAAAGCGUGCGCAGGCGGCUAUGCAAGACAGAUGUGAAAUCCCCGGGCUCAACCUGGGAACUGCAUUUGUGACUGCAUGGCUAGAGUUCGGUAGAGGGGGAUGGAAUUCCGCGUGUAGCAGUGAAUGCGUAGAUAUGCGGAGGAACACCGAUGGCGAAGGCAAUCCCCUGGACCUGUACUGACGCUCAUGAACGAAAGCGUGGGGAGCAAACAGG
rnacentral:rRNA from 1 species